CUGCCAGGGAGCGGGUGCACCAGAAGCCAGGAGGCAGCAUGGCCAGGACAGCUGACCCAAACUGGCCAGAGGGAUCCUCCACACCAUAAAACAUUAUGCCCAGUGUGUAAACUGGGGGGAGUUGCCCAGGAGCCACUGGUCACUGCUUGUGGGUAGGCUGAGCAUCAGUCAGUGGAUGGAGUGAGAGGAUUGAGCAAGGACUGCACAGCACUGAGUUGCCAGCUGGGGCUGAACCAUGACACGAGUUUAAAAAGACACAGUUGUAUCAGAGGUAUAUGGAUUCUCUUUGAUGGCUUCUCUAUGAGGAAGGGAUUGCCUUUUGCAGAACCAAACUUCUCCUGGGCUGCUCGUAAACCUACUGCCCAGUCAUUCAUCCAUUGCACAAGAAAUGCCACUAUGACAGGCUCCAGAUCCUGGCACACAGUCUGUGAGUUCCCAUUUUCUGCAUUUUUUCCCCCCUAAACUCUGCACUCUUCAGAGGAGGCACCUGAUCUUCACAGCAGCCUGCAAGGUGUCAAUGUUUCAUGAUUAUGGGUGAGGAUGGGUGUUGUUAGCAGCUGCCUCCACCCAUUCUCUCCAUUGUACCACACAGCUACAAUGUCAGCACUCUUGCUGACAAAACAAUGAGCACCCAGCUCCCGUGUGGUAUGGGGUAAGCUGCACCUUCACACUCUGUUCUCAAGUUCCUCCUUCACAGCGCCACCCUCCCAGUCCAACAGUUUGCCUGUACAUCCCCCAGUGCCUUGGGAAGGGGCAGCUGCAAGGCUUGGAAACCAGCUGGGGACACUUGUGUGAGAAGACUUGUGACAGAAGUGUGCAGAGACACCCAGCAAAGCUGAUAUUGUACUUCACACGUCACCUGAGGCUGAUGCAAGCAAAAGCCUGGGUGUGGCUGCCAGGCACCUUCCCCAUGCCACAAUCUAAUCUUGAUACAUACAGAGCAGCAACCACCAGGCAACAGGCCCCAGCAUCCCAAACCAGCUCCAGAGACAUUCUGCAGCUCCAGGGCAGGAUGCUGAGACCAUCCUGGGUAAAGAGCAACUCCUCCCUCACCCCUCCAGCUACAGCCAAGCAGCUCUGCAUGUGCCAAACAAGAAUCAUUUCCCGUCCUCAACACAGCAGCUCUGGAUAUUCUCAGUGUAGCUGCAUAAACAUUAUUAUUAAUUUAAUCCUAGUGAGUUUUGGCUUCAAUGCCUCAUGGCAGAGACUUCCAUGUACUGAGAAUAGCCAGAUAUUAAAUGAUUCCUAAAUGAGGAAGUACAACAUUUAUGAGGCUGAUACUAACAUUAGAAUUUCCUCCCUUGCAUACUUUGCUGCACUUUUGCCUUCAUUAAAAAAUGAAAUAAAGACACCAUAUGAAUCAUAA